rnacentral:rRNA from 1 species
GACGAACGCUGGCGGCGCGCCUAACACAUGCAAGUCGAACGAGCGAGAGGAGGUUUACUUUCUCAAGCGAGUGGCGAACGGGUGAGUAACGCGUGAGGAACCUGCCUCAAAGAGGGGGACAACAGUUGGAAACGACUGCUAAUACCGCAUAAGCCCACGACCCGGCAUCGGGUAGAGGGAAAAGGAGCAAUCCGCUUUGAGAUGGCCUCGCGUCCGAUUAGCUAGUUGGUGAGGUAAUGGCCCACCAAGGCGACGAUCGGUAGCCGGACUGAGAGGUUGAACGGCCACAUUGGGACUGAGACACGGCCCAGACUCCUACGGGAGGCAGCAGUGGGGAAUAUUGCACAAUGGGGGAAACCCUGAUGCAGCGACGCCGCGUGGAGGAAGAAGGUCUUCGGAUUGUAAACUCCUGUUGUGGAGGAAGAUAAUGACGGUACUCAACAAGGAAGUGACGGCUAACUACGUG